UUCCGUAGGUGAACCUGCGGAAGGAUCAUUACAGAGUUCAUGCCCUCACGGGUAGAUCUCCCACCCUUGAAUAUUAUACCUUAGUUGCUUUGGCAGGCCGGGGCAACCCCCGGGGCUUCGGCCUUGGUGUGCCUGCCAGAGGAAACAAACUCUGUUUUUAGUGAUGUCUGAGUACUAUAUAAUAGUUAAAACUUUCAACAACGGAUCUCUUGGUUCUGGCAUCGAUGAAGAACGCAGCGAAAUGCGAUAAGUAAUGUGAAUUGCAGAAUUCAGUGAAUCAUCGAAUCUUUGAACGCACAUUGCGCCCCGUGGUAUUCCGCGGGGCAUGCCUGUUCGAGCGUCAUUUCAACCCAUCAAGCUUCGGCUUGGUCUUGGGGCCUGCGAUUCCGCAGCCUCUAAACCCAGUGGCGGUGCCUCCGAGCUCUGAGCGUAGUAAUUCUUCUCGCUAUAGGGUCUCGGUGGUAUCUUGCCAGUAACCCCCCAAUUUUUUACAGGUUGACCUCGGAUCAGGUAGGGAUACCCGCUGAACUUAAGCAUAUCAAUAAGCGGAGGAAAAGAAACCAACAGGGAUUACCUCAGUAACGGCGAGUGAAGCGGUAACAGCUCAAAUUUGAAAUCUGCCGCAAGGCCGAGUUGUAAUUUGUAGAAGAUGCUUUGGGUAUGGCCCCGGUCUAAGUUCGUUGGAACACGACGUCAUAGAGGGUGAGAAUCCCGUAUGUGACUGGGUGCUUUUGCCUAUGUAAAGCUCUUUCGACGAGUCGAGUUGUUUGGGAAUGCAGCUCAAAAUGGGUGGUAUAUUUCAUCUAAAGCUAAAUAUUGGCCAGAGACCGAUAGCGCACAAGUAGAGUGAUCGAAAGAUGAAAAGCACUUUGGAAAGAGAGUUAAACAGUACGUGAAAUUGUUGAAAGGGAAGCGCUUGCAACCAGACUUGCACGCUGUUGAUCAUCCAGGCUUCUGUCUGGUGCACUCGGCAGCGUUCAGGCCAGCAUCGGUUCUGGUGGUGGGAUAAAGGCCUUGGGAAUGUAGCUUCUUUCGGGGAGUGUUAUAGCCCUCGGUGCAAUGCCGCCUAUCGGGACCGAGGACCGCGCUUCGGCUAGGAUGCUGGCGUAAUGGUUGUAAGCGACC
rnacentral:rRNA from 1 species